rnacentral:rRNA from 1 species
GACGAACGCUGGCGGCGUGCUUAACACAUGCAAGUCGAACGAAGUGGCGAACGGGUGAGUAAUACGUGGGUAACUGCCCUCCUUUUUGGGAUAAGCCUUGGGAACGGGGUCUAAUACCGAGUAAAGGGGGUUGGGCUGGCGGCAUAUCGGCUUGUUGGUGGGGUGAUGGCCUACCAAGGCGGUGACGGGUGGCCGGCCUGAGAGGGGAACGGCCACAUGGGGCUGGGAGACGGCCCAGACUCCUACGGGAGGCUGCAGUGGGGGCUAUUGCACAAUGGGCGAAAGCCUGAUGCAGCGACGCCGCGUGAAGGAAGACGGUCUUCGGAUUGUAAACUUCUUGAGACAGGGACGCGGUACCUGUAGAAUAAGCCACGGCUAACUACGUGCCAGCAGCCGCGGUAAUAC